GACGAACGCUAGCGGCGUGCUUAACACAUGCAAGUCGAACGGAAAGGCCCUGCUUUUGUGGGGUGCUCGAGUGGCGAACGGGUGAGUAACACGUGAGUAACCUGCCCUUGACUUUGGGAUAACUUCAGGAAACUGGGGCUAAUACCGGAUAGGAGCUCCUGCUGCAUGGUGGGGGUUGGAAAGUUUCGGCGGUUGGGGAUGAACUCGCGGCUUAUCAGCUUGUUGGUGGGGUAGUGGCUUACCAAGGCUUUGACGGGUAGCCGGCCUGAGAGGGUGACCGGCCACAUUGGGACUGAGAUACGGCCCAGACUCCUACGGGAGGCAGCAGUGGGGAAUAUUGCACAAUGGGCGGAAGCCUGAUGCAGCAACGCCGCGUGCGGGAUGACGGCCUUCGGGUUGUAAACCGCUUUCGCCUGUGACGAAGCGUGAGUGACGGUAAUGGGUAAAGAAGCACCGGCUAACUACGUG
rnacentral:rRNA from 1 species